rnacentral:rRNA from 1 species
AGUGAACGCUGGCGGUAGGCCUAACACAUGCAAGUCGAACGGCAGCACAGUAAGAGCUUGCUCUUACGGGUGGCGAGUGGCGGACGGGUGAGGAAUACAUCGGAAUCUACUUUUUCGUGGGGGAUAACGUAGGGAAACUUACGCUAAUACCGCAUACGACCUACGGGUGAAAGCAGGGGAUCUUCGGACCUUGCGCGAUUGAAUGAGCCGAUGUCGGAUUAGCUAGUUGGCGGGGUAAAGGCCCACCAAGGCGACGAUCCGUAGCUGGUCUGAGAGGAUGAUCAGCCACACUGGAGCUGAGACACGGUCCAGACUCCUACGGGAGGCAGCAGUGGGGAAUAUUGGAGAAUGGGCGCAAGCCUGAUCCAGCCAUUCCGCGUGGGUGAAGAAGGCCUUCGGGUUGUAAAGCCCUUUUGUUGGGAAAGAAAAGCAGCAGGUUAAUACCCCGCUGUUCUGACGGUACCCAAAGAAUAAGCACCGGCUAACUUCGG